rnacentral:ncRNA from 2 species
AAUAAACUAAUUUAAAUAAGUGCUCACAUUGUGAGGUAAAAGGGAAACUAGUGAAAGUCUAGUACAGCCCCCGCUACUGUAAAGCUGAUGAAAUUACAAUACCACUGAGAAAUCGGGAAGGUGUAAGAGUAAAAUGAAGCUUGAGUCAGGAAACCUGCUUAUUUAAACGACACAUA